AAAGACAAAGCUGUCACAAACACAUCACAGAACCAUACAAUAUGAAGUUAAUUCUAUUUUUCUUUAUCGUAACAAUUUCCGCUGUUCUUAGCGAGGAAGUUUUAAAGGGCCCUAAUUAUGUUUGUUUAAUAAAAUCUAUUGUUAAAUUCGCAAAAUGUUUGAAAAAAAAUCACGGUUUCCUAUUAAAUUCGAGCGAAAGUAUGGAAUUCGGAUCGAGUCCGGUGGCAGAAUGUUUAAAACAUUGGGUAGAAGACGUGCUGGCUUGUAUUUAAAUCGAUUUACAUGGUGUUCAAAUAAUAUCCUGCACUUGGAACAUUGAAAAUAAAUAUCUAAAUAAGCAA